GUUUGAGCGAUUGUAGCACUCUGAAAACAGCAUAUAUAUGUAUGUCAACAGAUGCUAAUAUUUCGCGCAUAAAUCACAACCGAAUACUGUUUUUUAAUUUGUUUAUGAUUAUAUAUUUCAAGCCGCGCAGCUCCAAUUUUCCACGGAAAAUAUUUAACAAAUUAUUUUCCUAAGCACAAUCACGUCGGGGUUCACCAAUUGUUUAGUUACUGAGCGUUUUCGGUAAGCUAGAGUUGACGACCGAAUUAGAAUAAUGACGCGGGGAGAGCGGCUCAACGCUUGAUGCUGCGGAGCGACGAGAGAUCCCGCGAGAGAGCGAGACAAACCGCUACCGCGUGACGGCAGAUGCAGGUGGCCGAUCGAAUGCACGAGAGUGGGCGACGCAAAUAGAGACAUAGAUAAAGAGAAGAUAAAAAAAUUCUAUAAAUUAUUGCCGGCCAAAACUUUCCGACGGCUGCUUGACCCCACACUUAUUAUUAUAGAAAAUAGAUCAAAUGAAAACACCUAUCGUCUACCAUCACCAUCUUUUCAUUGUUGUUAUAUUUCCUUUAAUUAUAUCAAAAAGUGGAUACAAAAAUCUUUUCAAAGUUUCAAGAAGUGCAGCAUCAGCUAAUAAUAAAAAUUAAUCAAUAUUAGCUGGAUACAAUUUGAAAAUCUUAGCCAGCAAUGGGCAAUGCCAAUCGAAUAUGGUUCUAAAAUCAUUUAUUCACAAUUAUUCAAGGUCAAAUUUGUUAGGUAUUUUAGGUCCAGCAUGUAGUGAAACCGUUAGAACCCAUAUUGGCUUAGGAAAGCAUAUGAAUUUGAUAGUUAUGUCCUAUUCUGCUGAGAGUGUAAACUUGAUUAAUAGUAAAUCUUACCCAUACUUCUUUCCUACAAUAGGAUCAGCUUUGAUUUUUAUAGGUGCAUAUCUUGAUAUCAUGAAAAUCUUACAUUGGAGUAUAGUAUGAAUUUUAUAUGAAAAUUAAGGCGUUGAAUGUCUCACGAAUUUGAAGCGUAAUUUAAAGUAUAGGAAAAGCGCACGCCAAGGCAUGCAGGUUGUCACCUCGUGGGCUGCCGUCCAUAGUGAUUGAUACCAACUACAAGCCCACUGAUAUCAAUAAGAUUAUAAUUACAAAUUUACAUAUUCCAACUGCUGCGAGAACAAUUUGUGAGGCAUUUAAAUUAAAAAUGACUCAACAAAAUGAUUAUAUUUGGUUUCUUCCCAUGGACUUGCAAUAGACUUUUCUAGUUGGCAAUAUAUGUAAACGAUAGCUGUAGUGCGUAAGAAUUUAAUAAACCAAUAAUGGUAAUUUUAGUGCACACACAUUUAGCAACUACACGGCACGCAUGCAAGAAGGCCAUACUAUGAAAGAUUGGAAAGAAUCGUAUAAAAUUCAAAUUGGAUCGGAACCUUCCUAUUAUUCCGGGUUUCCAGAUGCUGUUUGAACAUACGCCCUUAGCCGCUCAUAAAUUACUAGUUGAAGACAAAAAUGUAUUUUUUUUAAAACAUUUUUUAAAAACAGAAAAUGUUACAAAUUGGAAAAUUUAUUUGGACAACUAGAUUUAUUGGCUUAUCUGUGAAUCUAUUAUUUUCCCGCGGAGAUCCGGGAGGAUCUCAGCUUAGAUUUUUUGCAGUGGCGAAAGCUAAUCGCCAAAUUGGAACAUGUAACCUCGGAAUUUGCAUUUUUUUAACGGAAUAAAUUAUUAUAAUUAUUAUAAUUCUAAAAACACAAACAUUCUUUUCAAUGAAUAGAUAGUUAAAUAUGUAUAAUUAAUUUUUUGUGCAUAUUUGCAUUUGGGAAACUUUGUAUCUAUUGAUGCUGCUGAGAUUUAUGAAUGAGGCAAUAUGAAUCUCAUUUUCCCUUAAGCAUAGCGUAAGAAAUUCUAUAUACAAAUAACCAUGGCAACGCUGAUCGACGCGUUGUCAUUUUCUUAUAUA